UUCCCCCUCAGCGCUUCCCUCCGAGCCCCCUCAGCGCUUCCCGCCUUCCCGGCCCGUCCCUGCCCGCGGGCUGAGGAGCCGCCCGGGACCCCCAGAGCCGCCCGGGACCCCCAGAGCCGCCCGUUCCCCGUUAGGAAGCAGGAGCGAAGGCAUUCGCUGCGUGUGCCGAGGUACGUGACUUAAGGUUGAAGAGCAUUUUCCAGCUCCCUGUCCUGUGCAUUGCUAAAAUAUAAAAUGUUGAAGCAGCUCUCCAGUGAGGUGACACACUCCAG